CGGCUUAAUACAUGCAAGUCGUACGGGAUCCGAGAUAGCAAUAUCUUGGUGAGAGUGGCGCACGGGUGCGUAACACGUAUGCAACCUACCUUUAACCGGGACACAACCUUGAGAAAUUGAGGCUAAUAUCCCAUAACACUGCGAAGUGGCAUCACUUUGCAGUUAAAACUCCGGUGGUUAUUGAUGGGCAUGCGCGACAUUAGCUAGUUGGUGAGGUAACGGCCCACCAAGGCUACGAUGUCUAGGGGUUCUGAGAGGAUUAUCCCCCACACUGGUACUGAGACACGGACCAGACUCCUACAGGAGGCAGCAGUAAGGAAUAUUGGUCAAUGGGCGCAAGCCUGAACCAGCCAUGCCGCGUGAAGGAUGACGGCCCUAUGGGUUGUAAACUUCUUUUGUACGGGAAAAAACCACCGGUCGUGUAUCGGUGCUGAUGGUAUCGUAAGAAUAAAGCAUUCGG
rnacentral:rRNA from 1 species